UACGGAGGAUCCGAGCGUUAUCCGGAUUUAUUGGGUUUAAAGGGUGCACAGGCGGGAGAUUAAGUCGGCGGUGAAAUUUUGCAGCUUAACUGUAACAGUGCCGUUGAUACUGGGGAGCUAGGAUUUGGUUGCUGUGGGUGGAAUGUGUGGUGUAGCGGUGAAAUGCUUAGAGAUCACACAGAAUAUCGAUUGCGAAGGCAGCUCACAAAGCCAAGAUUGACGCUGAGGCACGAAAGUGUGGGGAUCAAACAGGAUUA
rnacentral:rRNA from 1 species